CUCCCCAAUGCGCAUUGGGUUGCCCAAGGCACAGGACCUCUAUCUCCACUUUACUACAAGACCCCUCUUGUAGCUCUGGUUUUGGGCUUAACCCUCUGGGAACUGGACAGCCCACUUCCUACUUUAUUUGGCAAAGAACAUUCUACGGAAAACCUAUGAUGUUCCCCGAUAUAAGUAAAGCAAGCACGGGCUCCAUUUUGUCUUUUCAGUGUGGAAGCCCGAUCUCUAAGAUCAGCCGCCUGUCCUGCCCCCCAUUUUAAAAUUACUUCCUGUGUUCUGUGGUUUUUCCUCCUGCUCUAUUUUUCUUAGUCUUUAUUUCACAGCCAUCCCACUCCACUGAGAGAAACCUAUUUCUACCGCUUACAUGGGAUGUGGGUGGGAUGUUAGUAUCUGUUUAAUUCAUGAAUUUUGUACUUAUGAUGAGAGGAUCAGCAGAAAGACAAGGUAAUUGGUUCCAAGAAUAUUAAAACUAAGAGAUUUACAUACUCAGUUGGAAAAGGAAAGUCAAAGUUGGAAAAGGAAAGUCAAAGCCGGAUUGCUACUUUGGAAACUGAAUGGGUUAGACUUGCAAACUGGAUGGGUUGGUCUUGCAUGGCCACCAGACUGUACUCAUGUAGGGUCAUCUUCUCAACCAGGCAGAAGACAUGGCCCUACUCUAACAUUUGUGCCAAGUUCACUGGCUGUGAAAGGGCUGAGUCCCAAUUGGUUCUACAGAGUUAAUUCAACCGAAUUGGAUUCCUGGGAGAGUCAAAAGACAGUUGAGGGGAAUUGCUUAGGAAAUGCAUGAUUUUUGUUGGUUUGUUUUAAAGCCACACUGUCAUCAUUUUGCCUGUUUCCAGGUUUUGGAUAUCUUCGUAUUUUCCCUGCAUGUCAGUGAGAAAAGUGAGGUCUGGAGAAGUGCCUCUAUCUCCAAGCUUCCAUUUUAUCAUCUGAAAAAUGGAGUAAUCACAGAACCUACCUUCCCAGUGUGGCUGAUGAAUUACCAGCUGCCCAUGCACACAGACUCACAUAGGAGGUCCCCAAAGGGAAGAUACAUCUGUUUAGACCCUAAGCUUGGGGAAGGUGAAGAAAGCAGUCAGAUUCCUGCAGCCUCAUGAAGUCACAUGGUCUGAAUACCCAGGAAUCCUAAUAUCCUGUCUUGGCAGUCACUAUCCCCAGCUGAACUGCUGGAGUCCAGCCAAGGCCUAUGAGGACAACAAGGAGCCUCAGAACCAGAUACACCUGUCCUACACUAAAGCAUUUGUUUUUUCAACUAAAGCCUGUGCCCCCACAGGCUGGGAUUAAAGUUUUUCUCCUUCAGUCCA